GAUGAAGAACGUAGCGAAAUGCGAUAAGUAAUGCGAAUUGCAGAAUUUCCGUGAGUCAUCGAAUCUUUGAACGCACAUUGCGCCCACUGGUAUUCCGGUGGGCAUGCCUGUUCGAGCGUCAUUACCCUCCCUCAAACCCCGGGUUUGGUGUUGGACCCAAGUUGUGUGAACAACUGGUCUUAAAGACAAUGACGGCGUCCGUGGGACCCUCGGUGCAACGAGCUUUUAGGAGCACGCAUCGAGUUGCAAGGACCUUCCGGGCCGGUCUCCUUUACUAUUUUACAAGGUUGACCUCGGAUCAGGUAGGAAUACCCGCUGAACUUAAGCAUAUCAAUAAGCGGAGGA
rnacentral:misc_RNA from 1 species